rnacentral:sRNA from 1 species
UGACGGAUUGUUUGAUUGGCGCAAACUUUGGGUAAUAAUGCGGAGGUUGAAACGCAGGGAAGGAUUGGCUACUCGAACAUUCUAAACUAGCCGCUACGCAAGGAUUCUGGGUUACAAUCAGACCACAAAAAUCCAAACCGCCAAUCAGACAAGGUACGAUGCCGGGCCGUGGGGACUGGAAUUGUGCUGCAUUUCAUACGGACACGCACAUUCUGGGGCAAUAAUGAACAAAAUGAAACAGCAGGGUAUAGUUAUACGCGUAGUUACAAUAUCUGCCUACAUCGACAAGAGAGAGAGAGGGAACUGGGGGGAAAAAAGAUGAAAAGUGACUGAAUUGGAAGAAGAUUGUCGCAUACCGAUCAUCCAACUCCAUAAGCCCGCUAGACCAAAUAUGAGUUUAGCCCAACCAGGCGGGAAGAAAGGGAAAUAUCAGAAAAAGCAAAACGAACAAGGCCAAAAAGAAAUAAAAAAUAAAAAAUUAUACGGAAAACUCUCAAAGAGC